rnacentral:lncRNA from 1 species
AGCGACAAGGAAGAAGAGGCGGAGUACAAGGAGAUUGAGGCGGAGGAGUUGGUUGAUGUCACAGAAGAAAUUGUUGCCUUUGACCUCGACCAGGAGUGAAAGCGCACAAGUCUCUCAUACUAGUCUCUCUGCUGCCGAGUGUUCAUUUUCUGCCUGCCGAGUAAAUCGCUGUUGUUUUGCAUGAUACGUGCAAGUGGAUAAUUUGUCGUUCUUUCUGCCAGUACACUUUUCCUAAAUUCACCGUCAUGUUUAUGGAGACCAAAUUUUGUGGUUGGAAUGUUAACCAUCAUAAUCUGUUUCUUUGCAAAAACGGUUAUUUCAUUUUCUUUAGUACUGUAUUUGCCUGUGAUAUCGAAAUUGUCUGAAAAAUGAUGUUCUUCCUGGUGUUUGAGCCUAGUUCUGUUGUCCAAUACUGUACUAAUGUACGGUAUCUAUUACUGUUUGAUCAACAUUGUGUUACGUCAGGAGCCCAUCUUGAGAAAAUACUCGCCUUGCUUAUUUGCAUGCAUGGUGUCAUGUUUCCAGCAAAACCUCCCACCCAACUUCGGCAUUUUGGCAAGGUAUAAACAUGAUCAACUCAGGUUUUGGCAAUUGCACAAGUGAAAUGCGUCCGGUCAACAUCAAGUGGCAGCAAUUACAGCCAAACGCAGGUAUGCCACGAACAAAUCAUAAGUAUUGAACGACUUGGUACACAGCGGCAGCCUUGUUUCCAUUUGAAAUAAGCAGAGGACAUAGGAAACCGUUAGAAGAUACUACAAAAUGUAAGCAAUUUUCGAAUAUUCAUUUUUGAGCCCGAGCUCAUCUGCACCGUAUGAACAGUAAAUUAAAAAUAAAUAAAUCAUACUUUAGUGAUAAACUGCAUCAAUAUUUGGUCCUACGCGUAUAACCUAUUACAAACCGGUGGUACCAAAAAACCUUUUCUAAAAGUAUCAGCAUCAGCAUCAGCAUCUGUUCUGCUGAUAUUUACACAAGGGGUUCAUGGCGCCAGCAACAGCGUGCGGUCGCCUCUAGCACCAGGGCAGCAUAUUGUGGAUGCUACAAUUCAGUGACUCGUGCCCUGAAUUGUAGGUGAGACAUAAGCGGUAUCUUGAUGGCCAUGGCGGUGGUAUAAGGUGGGAAGACAUCUCACCGAUUUGCUGGUGCCUUCUUCGCCAAGCAUGGAGCACAGCCAGAUGCGACUACCGAACAGUCCGUUAUCAAGAUACUGAUUAAAAACUCUUGUGAUGAUCUUUAUUGGCUAGGCUUCGCUGCGACGAACUUACCAUUACAUGCUGUAUCACUUUCUUCUUACACACCUCCCCCUCAGGUUUGAAGGAGUUUUUACAACACAUCCAACACAUUUCUCCUCACACUACUUCCGCAAUUUUUUUUACCAAAGCCGAUAAAUGAUCUGAACUAAGUUGAAGACGGUUUAUGUACGGACGCGCUUGAACUUCCUCCCGGCGUCGACACGCAGCGACGUGGACGGCACCCCGACCCUGCCGCGGUGAUGCCUUCCGCCCCCAUGGCUUCUCGCCGUGGCGUACUGCUCCUUGUGGGAGGUGAAUCUCCUCAGGCGCAGCGACCGGCGCAGCCUGUCCUUCCUCCUCUCCCUCACCGACGACGACGACCCCUCCCUCGCCCUGCCCCACCUCCUUGUACCAUGCCCGUGGCCACCAUCGCCGUCGCUCUCCUCGUCGGAGCUCCAAUCUCCAACUCCCGUCUCCACGUCCGGAUGCCGCCGGCGGCGGCCGUGGUACACGCGCUUGGUGUCCCGCAGCUUGCGCCAGAGGAAGCACGACGAUCCCUUCAGCGCGUGGCAGCAGCCGGAGCACGCCGCCCCGGCGACCUUGCAGGCGUUCUUGGCCACGCAGCGGACGAUCCCUGCCUUGCACACGAGGUAGGCGAAGAAGAGCACGACGUAGGUGAGGACGAUGACCAUGAAGAGCCUGGCCAGACUGGCGGCGCAGAGGUGCUCCAGGAAGCAGGCCACGUCCCACGUCCCCGAGCAGACGCCCUCGCAGGACGCGCUGAGGAUGGCCCUGAAGGGCGCGGCGACGGCGCCGCCGAGCAGCGUGCCCACGCCGCUCGCCGCCGUGCCCACCACGGAUCCCAUCUGAUCUGUCGUCAAGUAACUCCCUCCCUCUCUGCGGUUGAUCGAUGGCGUCUGUCUGGAUUGUUAAUCCGUUUUGUACCAAACCGUCGGCAGUUGCCUUUGGCAACGUGCGCGUUGGUUGGCUCACGUCGUCAGGUUACUACUACUACUACUACUACUUCAGGGCAUGAGACAGAACAGAUAGUACAGUAAACAUUUCCCUGGAUCUUUUGCCAAAUUCACCGACCUUCAGACAACCUUUUUAAAACAAAAGUGUUUUCUCAUGCUCAUUUCGGUUCGGCAAGAACCAGGUAGGGCAAAAUAAAUUUUGCGAAAGAAAACAUUUCCUCUUGCUUCUUCUUCGUGGCGAAAAGUUUGCCGCGCUGUUCAUGAUGAAAUCAAACUGGUGUUUUUUUGUCUCGUAUUUGCAUCAAAAUCACUUUUUCUUGUCCAAGUGGCGAAAUCUGCCAUGCCUAAACAUGGAUAUUUCAAGUAGGUGCUUGGAGUAGUGAAGCUACAAGAUGUUACAAACAAAGCACUAGCAAUAAUAACAGGUAGAAACAGCAAUUGGUUAGAAGCCGCAAGCGCCAGGUUACUAGUGCUGCUCCAGGGAACGACACAGAACAUAUGAACAGUAAACAGUUCCCUGGAUCUUUUGCCCAAUUCACCGACCUUUGGGCAACCAACCUGAGACUAAGGUUGGUUCAAGUGCAAAUUUCAUCAUUUACCACUUCCCGCAAGACAAAAAGGAAAAGCUAACGAGCCAGUUACAUUCUCCGGGCUCCGGCGCUACUCGGCGACCCGGCAAUGCCAUACGACCACCGUGCCAUUCAUGCCAUUGCAACCACCGAGGGCCAAUCCCAGUCCGCACAGGACCAGACCAACCUCGGAAUGGCUGCCACUGAAUUCCAUGAUCCAACAACCAAAGAUAGAACAAGCUUAACGUUCAGUGACGAUAAAGUUUGUCGACACUUGAACUGGAAUCAAGAUACUACGGUUAGCGACUGCAUCCAGUUUACAAACGAUGGGUACCAUGGAAGUCUUAUAAAAACCACAGGAUAUUCUUGCUGGAAGUUUUCAGACUAACAAAAGGUGCUAGCAACGAAACAAAGCCUCAGAUUCUGCAGGCAAGACAGGCGCGUCAGUUACUUUCCAGGGCAACGAGCAUUCUUCGCUGCCUCUUGGGCUUCCCUGCGACCAAAAUAUUUUGAACAUGAACAUUGUCAGAAAUCUGUGUACAACUCCUUUCCCUGAAGAUCAAUCCUAAUAACACAGGUCAACACUAGGUGCUCUUUCCACGAUUAGUAAAUCGCUCCGACUCAAGAAAAGAACUCAACAGACUUGAAUCCAUGUAAUGUAAUGUAUCAUUUAUCCUUUCACUUAACUUAUGAAAACAUGGACCAGUUACCUGAAAGCAUUUGCGAGAUCACCAUUUGUAGGGUCAAGCUUCAAGCCAUCCACAAAAGCCUCACAUGCUCUCUCGUACUUCUACAAAUACACACCAUAAAAUGAUCAGUUAUACGAUCAUGAUCACGGAUGCUUGAAGAAAACUACUGUGUUAUUUUUACCUUCAAUAACAUAAGAGCUGCCCCUUCUCGGUAGCAGGCUUUUGGCCAAAGAGGUCGCCCCAUUCUGCACAUGGUAGCAUAAGACAGAGCAGCUCUUCCAUUUCCAGCACGCAACGCGCAGAGACUCAUAUUUGCCAAUAUGGUUGCAUACUCAUCUGGACUAGGGUCAAAUGACAUUGCCUACAACACAUCAAUCACAUGCAGCUUUUAGCAAUAUCUAAAAAACUGAGUACUGAUAAUAAUCAUAUCUUUUACGAUGGCGCUCAGAUAGUGUUGUUCUGAUUGAUAUAGAGAUCCCUGUACACAUGAAACCAGCAAAUGUAUUGGAUAAAUUUCAAAAUAGGCACUUUUGUAUAACAGUAAUGUGUUACCACAGCCCUUUGAACACUGUUAAACAUGAUAUGUCACGUAGUUGAAAGGCGCACUACUUAGGUGCACCGGUUUACCUAAACCGUAUUGGCUAGAUAGAGUUAGUUAGUCAAGAUCUCAUGUAACAAUAUUCAUCUCUAUAUCUCCAUUCUUUCUUGAUUCUCAAGAUGUAAUCUCAACUAUAUGUAUGCUUAUCUCAGGGAGAUGCCUCUGCCUAUAUAACACACAACCGUCGCCUCCAACGAGGUACGAAGCUCACCGCUCGCUUACAUGGUAAUAAAAGCCUCCUCUAUCCACUACAUCUAGCCAAACCCAUCCCCAGCCAUGUCGUCCUCCUCCGGCAUCGUCCAGACCGCCCUCACGCAGAGAAGCUCUCUCGCACCAACUACGUGUUGUGGCAUGCACAGGUGACGCCGCAGCUUAGGGGAGCUAGUUGCUUUGGCUAUGUCGAUGGCAUCACACCAGCGCCCGUCAAGUUCCUCACCACGAAGGACAAAGACGGAAAAGAUGCGAAAACGCUCAAUCUUCUCUACUCGAUUUAGGUUAGAGAAGGACAACAGGUACUCAAGACACUUGUCGAAUAACCUCUCCAAGGAAGUCCUUGUGCAGGUCACUUCCAUUGCCAUGCCGCACGAGAUUUGGGCUGCUCUUGUGAGCAUGUUCUCGUCGCAGUCCAAGGCCCGCGUCAACAACAUCCAGAACGUGCUCUCCACGGUGCAGAAGGGGCCGCAAACCGUGGUGGCAUACUUUGCUCACAUUCGGUCUCUCGCAGAUGAGCUUGCAGCCGCUAGGAAGCCGAUCGACGACGACGAGCUGAUCUCCUACAUCAUCGCCGACCUCGACAUGGAGUACCAGCCCCUUGUCUCGGCCAAUGAAGCCCUCACCGAGAGCAUCAGCCUCAGACGACGUCUUUGCUCAGAUGAGCAACUUUGACCAGCUCAUCGCCCUCUUCCAUGGUGCGAGUUCUGGUGGGGGAUUCAAAUUCUCUGCCGACGCCGCUUUCCGUGGCCGUGGCAGCGGUGGCUCAUGUCGCUACCGCGGGCCUCCAUGCAGCAAGGGCAAGCCAUCAAGCGGAGGCGGAUGACCCUCCUACAACAACAAGGGCCGCCGCAAAUCAAGCGGAGGCGAAUGUCACGCGCUGCCAAAUCUGUGGCAAGCCAGGCCACACGGUGCGCGACUGCUAGUAUCGUUUCGAGGAAGAUGAUGAAUCUUCCCAAGAUGAGAAAGUGGUAGUGACGGUAGAUGGCUCCUACAGCGUCGAUACCAAUUGGUAUGUCGACAGUGGCACCACAAAUCAUACCACGGGAGAGCUGGAAAAGGUGACCAUGCAUGAAAAGUACCGCGACCAGGAGCAAGUUCACACUGCCAAUGGAGAAGGUAUGAGAAUUAGUCACGUUGGUCAUUCAGUAAUAAAACACCUUCAUAGAAAAAUUCAUCUCAGAUUCUUUUUGCAUAUUCCUAGUGCUUUGAAAAACCUCCUUUUCGUUCAUUGUAUUACCAUUCAUAAUCAUGUCUUCCUCAAAUUUCACCCGUUCUUAUUUUUGAUCAAGGAUCAGGCCUCGAGGAAAAUCCUAUAUCGAGGUAGAUGUGUUCGAUGGCUUUACCCGUUGAUUCCAGAGGUUAGGAGAUUCAAUAAAUAAGCCUAUGGUGUCACCAAAGUCUCUCCAACACGGUGGCAUGAUAGAUUAGGACAUGCAUCUUUUUCUUUAAUCAAGCAAGUAAUUAGAAGAAAUAAGCUCUUGUUUGUUCUUUGUUGGUGAGCGUAGUUGUGAAACAAUUUGUGAUUCCUGUCAACGCGCUAAAAGUCAUCAAUUACCUUAUCCGGUUUCUACGAGUGUUUCUACCAAACCACUUGAGCUCAUUUUCUCGGAUGUUUGGGGUCCUUCUCCUACUUUUGUCAGUAGACAUUCCUGUUAUGUGAGUUUUAUCCAUGACUACAACAAAUAUACUUGGAUCUACCUUCUUAAAAAAGAUUCGAUGUAUUUCAAGUUCUUCACAACUUUCAAGCACUUGUCGAAAGAAAAUUUGAUUGUGAAAUUCUAGGCCUACAAUCGGAUUGGUGAGGGGAAUACAGAAACCCCAAUUCCUUCUUCCAACAAAUUGGCAUGCCACAUCAUGUGUCAUGUCCCCAUGCUCAUCAACAGAAUGGAUCUGCUGAACGUAAGCAUAGACACAUCGUUGAAGUAGGGUUAUCAUUGCUUGUUGUCGCAUCCAUGCCCUUGAAAUUUUGGGAUGAAGCCUUUCUUACCGUAGUUUAUCGUAUCAAUAUGUUGCCUAGUCGUGUCAUCACAAUGAAACUCCGGUAGAACGUAUUCUCCAUACAAAACCUAACUACACAUCUCUACGAGUGUUUGGGUGUGCUAGUUGGCCAAAUCUUCGUCCUUAUAACAAUCGCCAGCUCAUGUUUAGAUUAAAACAAUGUGUUUUUCUCGGUUAUAGUCCACACCACAAAGCUGUCAAAUGCCUUGAUGUAUCCACUGGACGUGUCUACAUUUCUUGUGAUGUUCUGUUCGAAGAAACCGUUUUCCCCUUUGCACAUCUUCAUCCCACUGCCAGCGCCCUCCUCCAAAUAGAAAUCCUUUUGCCAUCUCACCUCACCGUUAUUGAUCAAGGGGAACACUAUAAUACUGGUGAUCAAUUGUUGACUAAUCCUCUUACUAAUGAUGAACAUGAGUCUUGUGAUGAAGCAGAAAAAACGGUAUAGAAAAUGAUGAAGAAAUUGACCCAAAUCGGUAUUCUAUGCCUACUGGACAAGGCAACAACAACGACGGAGCGGAUCAGCCUCAGGAACAAGGCGAAUCGGCCUCAGGAUCCUCACACCGCAGGUCUGCACUGCGCCAGUGAGUGGGAUCAACCCCGGGAUCCACACCGCACUUACUAUAGCGACCCACUCCAGAAUCCGUGCCAUGUCAUGACGCCAGCAGUGGAUCGGCCGACCGUGUUGCUCCGCGCCAAUCAUCCGAGGCCGCGUGGUCGCAUGCAGACCAGUCGGCGCACAUACAGUUCGGGGACGAACCACGUUGCUACACGUGGCGUGUGCAGCGCCAGGACCCUGGCUCGGAGUCCCGCAUUGAUUCCGCCCAGGCCACUCCAUCAUCGGCUCAUGAUGAGACUGCCGCAGGUGCGGGAUCUUCUGCGCCACCUGGCUUCUCUGAGCCGCGCGCUGCAGCCACAGAACAUCCGCCAAGGUUGUCGUGCCCAUCCUCCUCGGGCUUGUGUGUUGCCCUGCUGCGGGAUCUUCCGCGCCGUCUGCUAAACCUUCUGUGCCGGCUCCUUCGCCACCACGGACAAGGCUUCAAAGGGAGUAACUCGACCCAAAAAAUAUAAACACACAGCAAAAGUUGGUCUUACUUGUAGUACAAAUGAACCAAAUAUUGUUGCAAAAGCCCUGAGCGACCCACGGUGGACGAAGGCUAUGGAAGAGUAGUACAUGACGCUCCAGAAAAAUAAAACUUGGCAUUUAGUUCCUUUCGUCAAGGUAAAAAAUGUGAUUGACUGCAAAUGGGUCUUCAGAAUUAAAAAGAAGUCUGAUGGGACCAUAGAUUGCUAUAAAGCUAGACUAGUUGGAAAAGGCUUUAAGCAAAGGUACCUCAUAGAUUAUGAGGACACUUUCAGUCCUGUUGUAAAGGCUGCCACUAUUCGUCUUGUUUUGUCUAUUGCAGUGUUCAGGGGAUGGAGCUUGAGACAACUAGAUGUACAGAAUGCGUUUCUUCAUGACAUUCUGGAAGAGGAAGUGUUCAUGAGACAACCUCCUGGGUUUGAGGACAGAAAUACAUCCCAUCAUGUGUGCAAGCUUGAUAAGGCCUUGUAUGGACCGAAGCAAGCUCCUAGGUCAUGGUACUCCCGUUUAAGUUCAAAACUUAAAGCACUUGGGUUUGCUCCUUCCAAGUCAAACACCUCAUUGUUUAUUUAUAAUAAGUCAAAUACUUCCACAUUUGUGCUUAUAUAUGUUUAUGACAUCAUUGUUACAAGUUCAUCAAAUGAGGCUGUUACAAGAUUGUUAAAAGAUUUAAACUCUGAGUUUGCUCUCCAGGAUCUAGGAGACUUGCAUUAUUUUCUUGGCAUUUGAAGUGUAGAGAAAUGGAGAUGAUUUUCAUCUAUCGCAAGAAAAGUAUGCAACUGAUCUUGUAGCUAGAGUUGGGUUGCCGGGUUGUACACCAUCAUCAACACCACUGUCUAGCACAGAAAAAUUAUCCUUGUCACAAGGAGAACUCUUGAAUCAAGAGGAUAGUACCAAGUACAGACGUAUGGUUGGUGCUUUACAGUACCUAACUCUGAUCAUGCCUGAUAUUUCCUUUGUUGUCAACAGGUAUGUCAGCUUAUUCAUGCACCUACUACAAUGCAUUUGCCAGCUGCAAAACGCAUACUUAGAUAUGUUAAAAAUACUUUGAGCAUUAGACUAACAUUCAGCAAGUCACCAUCAACUCUUGUCAGUGCAUUCUCUGAUUCUGACUGAGCAGGUUGCCUAGAUGAUAGGCUCUCAACAAGUGGCUUUGCAAUGUUCUUUGGACCAAAUUUAAUCUCCAUGUGUGCAAAGAACAUGCCACAGUUUCGAGAUCUAGCACAAAGGCGGAAUACAAAGCAUUGGCAAAUGCCACAACAAAAAUUAUUUGGGUUCAGUCUUUGCUGAAAGAACUUGGGAUGCGUUGUAAGCAGGUCCCAUGUCUAUGGUGUGACAAUCUAGGUGUCACCUAUCUUUCUGCUAACCCGUUUUUUCAUGCAAAGACCAAACAUAUCAAAAUAGAUUCUCACUAUGUCAGAUAAAGAGUUGCUGCAAAGAAACUGGAUAUUCGUUUUAUUCAUUCCCAAGAUCAAGUUGCAUAUGGUUUCACCUAUGCCUUAUCUACAAGGAGCUUCGAAGAAUUCAAACGUAAUCUCAACUUAACAAAGCUGUGAUUAUGGAAGGGUGUUAAACAUGAUAUGUCACGUAGUUGAGAGGCGCACUACUUAGGCACACCGGUUUACCUAAACCGUAUUGGCUAGAUAGAGUUAGUUAGCCAAGAUCUCAUGUAACAAUAUUCAUCUCUUCUCUCCAUUCUUUCUUGAUUCACAAGAUGUAAUCUCAACUAUCUGUAUGCCCCUCCUAUAUAACACGCAACCGUCGCCUCCAACGAGGUACGAUGUUCACCGCUCGCUUACAAACACAAACUGCUCAACUACAUCGUAAUUACACAUGUUUUACCAGAAAGAGGUGGCAGUACAUGCAACCUAUUUUCGAUGUGAACAAAAAUAUAGUAUGGACUGAGAUUAACAGUUUACAUAUAUAAAAAAUAACAAUCACUACAGGCAAUAAAAAUGGGCCCUAGUGACUUACACAACUAUACAUCUCCGAUGCCAUAAAAUAUUCCCCUCUCUUAAAAGCCUCCGAAGCUUUCUGUUUUAGUUCUAUUCUUCUCUUUGCACACAUUUGUUUAUCCUGAUGACAGAAGCGGUUAGGAUAAAUAUGUAGACAUAUCCUGUAAUGUAAAACAUGAAAAAUGUACAAAUUUGUAAGUCUCAGCCUAUAUCACCUAAUUAAUGUAUAAGACUAGAAAAAUCGAAAGUGUUCUUCUACUCCCGAGCUCAAAUGAGCUCGUGUGAACAGUAAAACAGAGAAAAAAAUGAACAAACAAAAAAACUGUUUUUUUGGUGAUAACCUUUGACAAAUAUGUUCUAUUCUUGAAAAUUUUCAUUGCGAAAUAACAUUCUUGGAAGUCAUGGCAAAAAAAAACAGUACUCCAAAAUGCUUUGAAAAAUAGCAUUCUAGGAGCAUUGAUUUCGAUUUUUUUGCCACGGCUUCCAGGAAUGUCCAUUCAUGACAAAUUUUUGCAAGCACAUAAAACAUUUCUCAAAAAUUGGCACAAAAAAACGGAUUUUUUACUUUUUUUUUU